AUGGCCGAGCUUUUGGGAUUCUUACGAAUCGGCAGUUCAUUACAACCCAACAUUGACAGAUGUUCAAAAGUUUAAUUAUUUGAAGGCCCAAUUAGAAAACGAAGCCGCUCAGACAAUUGCCGGAUUUUCUCUAACUAACGCUAACUAUGCCGAAGCCGUAAAUGUUCUGAUAGAGAGAUUUGGACAGACUCAUAAAAUAACACAAGCACACCUACAAGCACUGCUUGAUAUUACGCCACCCCGGAAUGACCUCAUAAGCCUGAGAAUGUUUUAUGACAAAAUGGAGAGUUUAGUUAGAGGACUUGAAUCGCUUGGACAGACACAGGACUCAUACGGUAAUUUAUUAGUCCCGAUUAUAAUCAACAAACUGCCCGGAGAAAUCAGAAAGCAUCUCGCGCGGGAGCAUGGUACGACAAAUUGGCUAUUACGAGAUCUUAGAAGAAGUAUACACAAAGAGAUACAAAUCAUGGAAGCCGGACAAGUUACACAGACAGAAAGUGAUAUUUCGUAUUCUACCCUUUUCGCCGGUGCUAACUCACAAAGAAAACACAACGCAAGUACUAGAAAUGUUAAUCAGCAUUUAACAGAAAAGCCGUGCAUUUUCUGCAAAGAUAUUCAUUCGCCUGCCAACUGCCAGAAAGUACGCGAUUUAGAUGAACGCAUCGCUAUUGUUAAACGUAACAAUUUAUGCUUCAACUGCCUCGGUACACAUCACAUAAAAGAAUGCAAAUCGAAAAGCUCAUGUCGUAACUGUGGUAAACGACACCACACUAGUUUAUGUAAUGAAGUUGAACACACCGCAAACCCCGACCAGAGAAGUGAAAACCGUUUCACUGACACGAAAGAUUCCGCUCACAGUUGUACGAACGAAAGUACGACAUCUACACCGACUGUAGUAAAUCUCGUGAAGGAUACCGAGAUACAAGAAGACUCAACAAUAUUACACUCGUCAGCACAAUUUCACUCAAAUGUAUUGUUGAAAACUGCCGUGGCCCCCGUUUGGUCAGUUCAUAAUUGCACAGAUACGAAUAUUUUGUUUGAUGAAGGCGCUCAAAGGUCUUUUGUAACGGAGAGUCUUGCGCGAGAAUUAAACCUGCAGAGAGAAGGAUCCGAAAAGAUUCAACUCUCAUCAUUUGGAGAAACCAACACUAAUGCUAGGCGACUCGAUAAAGCCACAGUUUAUGUUGAAACUGAAACUGGACAUAAAAUCCCAAUACAUGCAUUAAUCGUUCCAAUGAUAGCUACGCCGUUACAGAACCACAUUCGUUUCAUUGACAGGAA
rnacentral:lncRNA from 1 species